rnacentral:rRNA from 1 species
GACGAACGCUGGCGGCGUGCCUAAUACAUGCAAGUAGAACGCUGAAGAGAGGAGCUUGCUCUUCUUGGAUGAGUUGCGAACGGGUGAGUAACGCGUAGGUAACCUGCCUUGUAGCGGGGGAUAACUAUUGGAAACGAUAGCUAAUACCGCAUAACAAUGGAUGACACAUGUCAUUUAUUUGAAAGGGGCAAUUGCUCCACUACAAGAUGGACCUGCGUUGUAUUAGCUAGUAGGUGAGGUAAUGGCUCACCUAGGCGACGAUACAUAGCCGACCUGAGAGGGUGAUCGGCCACACUGGGACUGAGACACGGCCCAGACUCCUACGGGAGGCAGCAGUAGGGAAUCUUCGGCAAUGGGGACAACCCUGACCGAGCAACGCCGCGUGAGUGAAGAAGGUUUUCGGAUCGUAAAGCUCUGUUGUAAGUCAAGAACGGGUGUGAGAGUGGAAAGUUCACACUGUGACGGUAGCUUACCAGAAAGGGACGGCUAACUACGUG